rnacentral:rRNA from 1 species
UACGUAGGGGGCAAGCGUUGUCCGGAUUUACUGGGCGUAAAGCGCGCGUAGGCGGAACGAUCAGUCCGGUCUGAAAGCCCCCGGCUCAACCGGGGAGGGUGGCUGGAAACUGUCGUUCUUGAGGGCGAGAGAGGAGGGUGGAAUUCCUGGUGUAGCGGUGAAAUGCGUAGAGAUCAGGAGGAACACCCGUGGCGAAGGCGGCCCUCUGGCUCGACCCUGACGCUGAGGCGCGAAAGCUAGGGGAGCAAACGGG